rnacentral:lncRNA from 1 species
UGCAGACCACGUGAUAGCUAGCUAAUUAGAUUAUCAAGCCGUGCCUUUAGAUGCCUCUACUAAUUGCCUCCAACAUUUCCUUCGAUAAAAUUUCCAGCCAUAGACUAAUCCAGGCUCAAAAACCCACAGAAGUAGGGUGAAAAGUACCUAUGAAACGAGCCAAUUGCAAAAACUGUUCUUGAAGUUUUUCGAAACCAGUUCUUUAAAUGUGUUUUACCCUAUUAGUUAAAAUAUCAUAUGCUCCAAAAGAGUGACAUUAAUUAAUAAUUGUUUUUUUUCUUUGGACCCCAAAAACCUAAGACAGACAUUCAAUAACUAAGAUAAACAAAAGGCACAUAUUCAAUGCUAAAUGGAAAUCAUACCAUUGGAAAACAUAGUCACAUGUAAUGAAAAUCAUACCUUUCAAUGCUAAAUGGAGAGGCAUACCUUGAGCAUUAAGUGCAACAUUUGGGGGCGUCGGCAGAAUGAAACAUUGCAAUGGCGUCGGCAUAGAACGUUGUGGAAGUUGAGCUGCCUGAACAUCGAUUGACGUCUCUUCUGUAUUACUACAUCGAACUGUAGGUCUUUUUCCUUUGCUCAAUGAUGCGGAGGCCUACACGUUGGACAAGUAAAACAAUUAUUAGUUUCAAAAUGCCAACUCUACGAAGCUAAUAAUAGUAAGAAAUUACCUUUGAUCUAUUUGAGCUGGCCUCCAAUGGGCUUUUCCUCCGAAAUUUCCUCGGUGCUCCCUUUCGUUUACACGAUGCUGGAUCUAAUAGGUGCGCAUUGCUACUUGCCAUUUGGAUCUGACCAGUGCUCCCUAUACUUGACUUUGUAAUCCACAAUUCGUUUGCUUGCGAUCUUAUCCACUCCAUUACACUACAUGCCCGUCCCUCAUCGUCUGCUGCAAGGUCCGCCACCUCCGAAAAAGCCUGACACAUUUCGUCAUACCUAAGCUGUCCAAGAGUACUUGCCAGUCCAUCGUAGUUUACUGCGAUCCUAGUGUGUGCUCUACUGACAUCUCUUCUCCAUCUCUUUAUUAUAUACCGAUGAGGCAUCGAGAAAAUUUUAUUACGAAACAAGACCGCAAUCGCAUGCCUACAAAUGAUUCCCCAAAAUUCGAAUAGGUGGCAGCUACAAAUCAAUUCGCACGUAUCCCUCCGAAAUGACAUGGUAAAAGUUUUCAUCUUCUGGUGAUCAUGAAGUGCGACAUGCUCAUGAACAUCAUAAGUCGACCAUUAGUAAUCAUUUGCACUUUCAGAUAUAACGUCGCAAUAUACCUUCCCAGUGAUCUCACCCUGAACUUCUUUGAACUUUGAAAUGGUAUAAGCUGCUUGAAAUUGCUUUUCCAUUUCGAAAAGCGUCGCACAUGGUACCAUUUGAGAAUACGAUUUGAAAUCAGUCCGGAACUCCUUCUCUACCUUAUUUCGUAGUGCUCUCUCGUACUACUCGACGAACUGCUUCAGUGAGGUCUUCGAAUGCACAUAACCAUCAAAAAUGCAUUCAUACUCUCACUUUGUUGUGAAGUAGACAUGCUUGCCCAGAAGGUGGGUUUCAACAAACAAGGCACCCAACGAGCUCUGUUCUCAUACAACCUAGCUAACCAAUCAUUAUCAUGUAACUCGUAUGUUUCGAGCAUCAACCUCCAACCUUCUUCGAAUUCUUGACCAUUGUCGGAAUCAUACACCAAUUCAUGAAUUGCAGAAAAUAUCGAGCUCUUCUGAAUGUGAUAUCCGAACUUUUCUGACAACUUCUUCAUAAUGUGCCACAGACACCAUCUAUGCUUCGUGUUCAAAAAAACAAUAUCAACUGCAUUUUGCAUUGCCCGAUCUUGAUCAGUAAAAAUUGCAUUAGGAGCUUGUCCAUGCAUACACUCAAACCAUAUUCUAAACAACCACACAAAAGUCCCAGUGUCCUCAUUCGAUAACAGUCCGCAGCCCAAUAAUAUGGACUGUCCAUGAUGAUUCACCCCAACAAAAGGGGCAAACGGCAUGUCGUACUUAUUAGUCAAAUAGGUAGUAUCGAAAGUGACGACAUCACCGAAUUCCUUGUAAGACUGCCUACAUCUGUGAUCUGCCCAAAAAACAUUCUUUAGCCGACACUCCUCAUCAAAGUCCAUACUAAAGAAAAAUUCCGAGCACCGUGCUUGCAUCUUUGAAAAGUAUGCCUGUAUUGCGAGGGCGUCUCCUUUUCCAAGUCGUAAUCGUCUGACUUGUUCCACGUCGUUCCGACAAUCCUUUUCCACAAAAGUUGUAUUCUCGUAUCCACCAGCUUCCACAACUGCGGAGUUAUAAAUCUUGUGCAACGAAAUGCUUGCCAUAUCGUUCACUUCAAGCUUCAUUUUCAAAUUUGCACUCAAUUUUCGGUUGCAUCAAUAUAACCUAGACUUCGAAAGACUCGUUUUAUGGUUGUGAUCGAGGUGUACUUUAUUAAUUCUCCAAACUCCAAGAAUAUCUAAAGAUGCAGAUAUCCUUGCUUUACAGUCUGUUUGACUUGUUGGUUGAGGCUUCAAGGAUCCGCUUGUGGCAUAACUUCUUCGACCUUCAUGACUCCAUGUGAACGUCACAUAUCUCAUAACUCCAUCUUCCCCUUUUUUGGAAUUCCUUUUUCUCACCAGAAAUCCUACGGCAUAAGCAUAUCUUUUAUAAAACUCAAACAUUUCUUUCUCAUCGUUGAACAUCAUACCCACCACAGCUACGGUCACAUCAUCUCCUCCUAUAUUUUCGCUAUCCAAUGUGUUCAAAUUCUCUACAACAUUCUCAUUAUCACAUUCCAACAACGAAUCUCCAUUGCCGUCUUCCAUAAUCUCCUUUCCUGCCACAAUAAAAAUGUUCACUUCACAUCUAAGCAUGCAAUUAACCUAUUACUUCAUAUAAGAGUAAAUGGGUUUGUACCAAUUGGUACAGAAAUUUAAACAUACUGCCCAUUCUCUAGGACCCUACAAAAUGUUUGUUUGAAAAAUAUUUGGAAGAUGACUGUUUGUUGUUAUACAUGCUGCCUAUUCUCUGUGACCCUACAAUGUCUCUUUAUUAAUGAAAUUCAUCAAUUUGUCAUCAACUCUGUUAAUGCAGAACCACUUAAAUUUGCAUGUUUUUUGACUUUUAUCUUUUGUUCAUUAUAUUAUUUGUUGGUGGAAUAAAAUACCAGAGAGAGUAAAGCUUAGAAGUUCAUGUCGAGAUUAAUAAAUUGCUAGAUGUUUGGCAGCCAGAGUUCAAAAUUCUACAUAAAUUUUGCUGUAAAUUUUGAGAAAACAAAGAAGGAACAAUCUCGUUGAUAUGUUUCAUAGAAGAAUACGAAUUGACAGAAGAUCCAGGUUUUGCAUGAAGAUUGAAAAUACCCACUUACCGAACGUUUGCUGCAGAUUCUACAACUGAAGGAGAUGCUCAUAAAAUUGUUUUCAGCUGAUGUUCCGCAAUUGGAGGAGUUGUGACCGUCGAUUUCACCUUGGGUUUAGAUUGCAACGUCGAUUCACCUUCUGUUUGGGUUUCCCUUCAUCGAUUUCACUGUUUGACUAUAGACGGCUAGGGAGAUUCCCACUUCAUGUUCGACCGGAGAUGUGGAGUAUAUGUUAAUGGGUUUAUCAGCCGGAGAUGUGUCGAGUUGUUGGUGGGUUUCUCUAUUGUUUGAGAUGUUGAAAUCUCGCAAUUUUGGUGGCGGGUUGUCUCUUCUUCCGUAGGUAAGAGACUUUGUUCCUGCUUUUUCCAUCUUUUUUUAUUCAACAUUUUUUCCAUUACUCGUUGACGUCCU